AGUGAACGCUGGCGGUAGGCCUAACACGUGCAAGUCGAACGGCAGCACAGUAAGAGCUUGCUCUUACGGGUGGCGAGUGGCGGACGGGUGAGGAAUACAUCGGAAUCUACUUUUUCGUGGGGGAUAACGUAGGGAAACUUACGCUAAUACCGCAUACGACCUACGGGUGAAAGCAGGGGAUCUUCGGACCUUGCGCGAUUGAAUGAGCCGAUGUCGGAUUAGCUAGUUGGCGGGGUAAAGGCCCACCAAGGCGACGAUCCGUAGCUGGUCUGAGAGGAUGAUCAGCGACACUGGAACUGAAACACGGUCCAGACUCCUACGGGAGGCAGCAGUGGGGAAUAUUGGACAAUGGGCGCAAUCCUGAUCCAGCCAUACCGCGUGGGUGAAGAAGGCCUUCGGGUUGGAAAGCCCUUUUGUUGGGAAAGAAAAGCAGCAGGUUAAUACCCCGCUGUUCUGACGGUACCCAAAGAAUAAGCACCGGCUAACUUCGUG
rnacentral:rRNA from 1 species